rnacentral:lncRNA from 1 species
GAUAACAUCAGCACACCCUCUGGUCUGACCUAGGUGGGUCCCGGUCGAAAUUUUUGCUCUUUUCCAGUUUUGCCCCCCAUGGGACGCCGUUCCUGGUGGGGCCCACGUUGGGACAACAAGGAUCUCAGACUGGGGUUCGUGCGGUACUGCCGCAGGGACCACUAACGUCUCUUGCUCCCGCUUCUCCCCACGGUCGCUUUCGAAGAUGGGCGCGAAUCUCGAUGCGUUCGGAAGGUGUGGGGGCCGGUGCGUGAGAGUGUGCGCCCUGCUUUCUGAGCAGACGGAUCAGAAGUUUGGAUUGCAUGGACCCACUAGUCCAUGA